ACUAAUGACAUUUUUUCCAGCACUAACCUCUGCCCAAAUUGUCAGCUUUGUGAGAUAUCUUAGGCAGAUAAGAUCUUUGCUGAGCACAUUUAAACUAUUAUGGUCUGCACUAUUGCAAAGGGUUAAAGCAAAAUCAUCACUAUGUUGUUUGUUCCAUCCAACUCGUUAGACCAGGGGAAUAAUAAACACUACAUUGUGUCAUUUCGUCUGAAUUGUAGUGAGACAGAAGUAUAAAGUAGGAUAAAAUAGGAAUAGUCUAGUAAAGUACAAAUAAAGUACUGAAGUUAUUGUACAUAAUUACCUUUUCACCACUGCAAAAUGACCAUACAGUUAAGUUCAGGGCAUUGAGUAACUGGUAAAUUAUUACCAGCAAAAACUUUUUCAUAGUUCCAAGAACCCCCCUUUUUAUUGUGUCUGCAAGGCAAUAACUAGACAUGAUCAUAGUUCUUAGAAUGCCAAUUUGAGGGUCUUUUUAGCUCCUAUUUCAGAUAAAUUGUUGCCCAGUACAAGAGGAACCAAUUAGUGAAGCAUAAGUAUGGUGAUUGAUCUGGAUGUAAGUGUACACAGAUUGGUCGAACACGGCCAGUGCAGCAAUGGCAACUGAGAUAUUUAAAAACCUGUUAGCCCUGUAAACAACAGACAACGCAAACCAAAAACAACUGCUAGUUAGGGUUGGGUCGGUUCUCGGUAAUACCAAUUUGGUUCGGUACUCCGUCUUGGACAAGGUUUUUUUUUUUUUUUUUUUUUUGAGACCGACUGGACCGCAUACUCGGGCGGAAUGUAGGUGGAGCGCACUCCGUGGAGGGACUGAGCUAGGGGGUGUGAGUGCGAACGUGCCGAGGCCUCUACUGUAGCCUGGGGAGUCGAUAAUGGCGGACAAUUUAGUCUCGAAGAAAUCAAAGAAUGCGCCACUAUGGCAACACUUUGGCUUUGAGCCAGACGAAGGAGGCAGCCCUUGUUUGCACUGAUUGAGUAAGCUGCAAAAUUUAUUUGUAAGGAAUAAAAGAAACAACGUGUUACUGUCACUCUGUUGUCCUAUGGUCGUUUUUUAUUUUAAAUUAGUCAAUUGUGCCCCCAAGUGGCGAAAAUCCGGUACUACCGACUUGAUGCGUUUUUUUUUUUUUUU